CCACACUCCUGGCGGUGGGAGGGGUUGGCACUGCUCAGAUCAGGGUCCAGGAGGUCAGCGGUUCACCCACAGGCUUUCCUGAGAAGACUGCAGAGGCUGUGUGGCACUGAGCUGGGAAGCUGGAGCUUGGCUCUAAGGAAAUUCCGCCUCUGUGGCCAUCUGUGUCCUGUCUCCUGGGGGCAGCUGCUUCCCAGGGGCUCUUUCCACCGACCUUGGGCCUGUGUUUGGCUUCCGAAUACUUUCCACAUGGCUGUAGCCAGGCCCAACAUAUGCAUGGAUGAGGGAGUCACAAAGGAGAAAUGUCGUUGUCUGGUUAAUUUAAACUCUGGAUGGGAUCAGAAGGGGGUGUAAGUGUAGACUUCUGGGGGCGUCUGGGGAAGGCUCCUGAGAUUUGCCCUGGGACACAGAGAGGAGGCCAGCUCCCUCCUCGGCUUUCUGGAGAAGAGAGAGGGGCCCCUGGGUCUGUCCCUUGAGCCCGUGGAUGAAAUGAGCUGAAGUGGAGCCAGGCCGAUUACUACUCUCAGGCCACUGAGC
rnacentral:lncRNA from 1 species